AAAGGCAGGAUUUGGUGGCCAACAAUAUGUUUCACUUUUGAGGUCACAUUUUUAUAAGCAUUUUUGGUUUGUUCCAGAAUUUUCGGGAACCUGUUCAGUGUUCCAGGUUAAGUGCAUGAUCAUGUUCUGUUCACACAUACAGUACACUCACAUGCUUUUUUUAAAUAAACUAUAUCAGCACGAUGCUUCAACAUUUUAUUCUAUUUCUCAUCUUCACAUUCUGAUCAAGUCAGUGAUGCUGUCUUUAGAUGAGUUUCAGACAUAAAUAGGGUCUUCAAACAUUUUAGUUUAACAUAAAACACCAUUAAAUAUUAGUUUAUAAAAUAUGCCAACCUCAAAUUAAAGCUGAAAAUGCUUUAUUUUGACCAACUGUGAGCACGUGACUGUACUUUUUCAUUUUGUUAUGCUGUUUUGUUGAGGUCGUGUUCCUAAGACCUGUAGUUACAGUUGGUGCUAUUAGCAAUAAACAUUUCACACCCAUCAUGAUGAUGUCUGUUAACUUGUGAAUGUAACUGUCUUGAAAAAAAGGAAUCUUGCAGUGAAGCUCAUUCCCGGGCAGUGGUCAGAAAAAAACAGCUUUGACUUGAAGGGUUUUCCAAGCCAAGACUACGGAGUUGACUGUGGGAUCUUCAUGCUGAUGUCUGCUCUGUACGUGGCACUGGAUGCACCAUUUGACUAUACAAUAUCAGACAUGCCCUACUUGCGUAAAUGGUGGUGCUUGCUGUUGAUGGAGAACUUUGAUCUCAG